UAAAGAAGAGGAGCAUUACCUAGGUAGCUUAAUUUGUGGAGCCCAAACUCCAAAACAAAUAAGUGAGGGAGAGUUAUGCCGAGAUAAACUACCCUUGGGAGUCGUUUAUCGAUCGUAUUGGCUGAAUCCUUACGAUUGUCACUUAAAUAUUAAGUGAAGAGCUUCUA
rnacentral:ncRNA from 1 species